UACGGGGGGGGCAAGCGGUUGUUCGGAAUUACUGGGCGUAAAGGGCUCGUAGGUGGCCAACUAAGUCAGACGUGAAAUCCCUCGGCUUAACCGAGGAACUGCGUCUGAUACUGGAUGGCUUGAGUUUGGGAGAGGAAUGCGGAAUUCCAGGUGUAGCGGUGAAAUGCGUAGAUAUCUGGAGGAACACCGGUGGCGAAGGCGGCAAUUCUGGACCAAUACUGACGCUGAGGAGCGAAAGCCAGGGGAGCAAACGGG
rnacentral:rRNA from 1 species